ACUGCAUUCAAAAAGGUCACUUGGUAUACUGCCCAUUGAUAUAAUAGUACUGUAUUUGCGCAGGCUCUCUUCUUCUACUUCUCCCUGCCCUCUUUCUUUCUAUUUCUCUCCAUCGCUCUUUUCUCCUCAACAUCCUUAAUCAAAUAGGCACAGUAACCGUCAUUAUCUCUAUCAAACAGAAACCUUUUUACUAAAUAUUCAAGUUGCUCUUGAGAACAGUGUAUUUCUUGCUAAAUGCCUUGUUGGGUUAAUGUGAAUGUUCGUCCCUCCUCUUCACUCGCUUCACUCUCUUAAAAACUCUUCAGGUUUUUCCAACUGAGCGAUUCUGAGGCGGGCGCAAUCGCACUAGAGGGGAAGUCAAGUCGUGCUGGACUGGCGCGAUAUCCUCGCACGGUUUUACAACUAAAAGAAGACCUGCCCCGCGUUUAAUCAUGCUUUUAAAUGAUGGAAUAUGCUGAUUUUAAAAGUUGACCAGGGAUUUCUAGUUGUGGGGUGUUUGCGAGGCAUGGCUUUCCUUUUAACUUGCUUGUUUCUGUCUUGUGCGAGCAGUGUUUGGGGAAAUCAGCACGUUGAUACCAAUAUCUAUUUGGAUAACAUCACGCGCAUAUUGGAUAGAUUACUGGAUGGCUAUGACAACAGGCUACGACCUGGAUUUGGAGGUCCAGUUACAGAGGUCAAAACUGACAUCUUUGUUACCAGCUUUGGUCCGGUUUCAGAUGUUGAGAUGGAAUACACCAUGGACGUAUUCUUUCGUCAGACAUGGAUCGACGAACGGCUAAAAUUUGAAGGCCCCAUUGAGAUCCUGCGGCUCAACAACCUGAUGGUCAGCAAGAUAUGGACGCCGGACACCUUUUUCCGGAAUGGCAAGAGGUCGAUCUCUCACAACAUGACCACCCCCAACAAGCUGUUCCGCAUCAUGCAGAACGGAACUAUCCUCUACACCAUGAGAUUAACUAUAAAUGCGGAGUGUCCCAUGCGUCUGAUGAACUUCCCGAUGGACGGCCAUGCCUGCCCGCUCAAGUUUGGGAGUUAUGCUUACCCCAUCAGCGAGAUUGUAUACACUUGGAAGAAGGGUCCUCUGUCCUCUGUGGAGGUGCCACAGGAAUCAUCUAGUUUGCUGCAGUACGACCUCAUCGGUCAGACAGUGUCAAGCGAGAGGCUGAAGUCCAACACAGGUGAAUAUGUCAUCAUGACAGUCCACUUCCAUCUGCAAAGGAAAAUGGGCUUCUUCCUGAUUCAGACUUACAUUCCCUGUAUUAUGACUGUCAUCCUGGCCCAAGUCUCUUUCUGGAUUAAUAAGGAAUCAGUUCCAGCUCGGACUGUGUUUGGUAUCACCACUGUCUUGACCAUGACAACACUCAGUAUCAGCGCUCGCCACUCCCUCCCCAAAGUUUCUUACGCCACAGCCAUGGAUUGGUUCAUCGCUGUUUGCUUUGCCUUUGUCUUCUCCGCUCUGAUUGAGUUUGCAGCCGUCAACUACUUCUCCACUCUGCAGGCCAACCGGGAGCUGAGGAAGGCAGCAGCCAUGAAAGUGGCGGCCCAGGAGUCAGCAGCUGCAUCUGCAGCUGCAGCUGCGGCUCCAGCCACAGGGAGCGACGGAGAGGUUUCCUCAGUUGAUGCCAGUAGUGUGCUAAAGAAGAGGAUGAACUCUGCCCCGCUGUUUGACCGUCCUGCCAAAACAUUUCCCAACCCACCUGUCAAUGCCCAAGCCUUCCUGCAGCAGGGUUCAGCUGUACCGGCCAACAAUGUUCUGACUGGCACCAGCAUCAUCGACAAAUACUCCCGCAUCCUCUUCCCACUUUCGUUUGGCGCCUUCAACCUGGUCUACUGGAUCGUCUAUCUCACUAAGGACACGAUGGAGAUGUCCAGGUGAACAGAUGGCAUAGUUGUUACCAAUAAUUCCAGCACCUUCUCACUGAAAAUAAUUUGGGGAUAGCGUUUAAGCCAAGAGUUCGUCUUCCUGGGAAUCACACUCGCACACACACACUUUCAUACACUUGCAUGGGCACACACACACAUAUAUACACAAUAAAUAGAUGACUGACGCUUGCCAAGCACUCUUUUAAGCGGCCUCAUUGCAUUGUAUUUCUUUUUAAAUACUCCUCUGGAAAAUGAGUAUUUUGAGAGCAGCUGUACCAGCUCAUAUUGCCAACUUGACCCAGGAGCUCACAGCUUGUGGGCCCCAGGCUCUGGAACCAUUUUAAACAGGUACAACAUAUCUCUAUGUCUCUUUCAUUUCUUUUUUCUCCAAUAUAUAUAUAUAUAUAUAUAUAUAUAUAUAUAUAUAUAUAUAUAUAUAUAUAUAUAUAUAUAUAUAAAGUCACAUGUUUUGACACAUUUUCAGUGUCCUGUAUCCCCUGCCCGAGUGGAUGGGGCAAGAUGCAACGGCUAAGCUAGCUAGGCUGCAGAACCACAGGCAGAGCCACUACUUUGUUGUAUGUACUGUAUUUAUUUCUGUGUGUGCAGCAUGCAUGCAGUUCCACACAUGAUAGUGAUCUUGCAUGUGUGUGUUUCAAAUGACACAUUCCCUACCCUGAUAUUUAGAACACACUUGAGGGAAUGAGUGCACCCGUUGUCCUGACUGGACCCAGUGUGACUGACUCACAGCUCUUCUUUGCACUCUUCCUUUUUUUUUCUCCCCACAACACCCACUAUUUUUUGGUUCAUUGGCGUAAUUUUCCUCCGCUGAUGGAGUACAGAGGAUGUGAGGCAAAAUCUUCAAAGGGUUUUUAUGGUUUGUUCCACAGAUACAUUGGCCUGGUUGAAUAGUUACAUGCACAUGCAAAUGGAGAAACGUGCACAUAUUGAACAAAUACAGACAGUAAAACAUGCACACAUGCCAUUUACUUACACUUAUGCUUUCUUCCACAAUGACAGGAUUGUACAUCAUGUAUUUCCUGUAGACACAAAUGAACUUUGAAACAUCAGUGCAUGAUUCAUGACUAUCACAUAUAACAUAACUUCCAUCUGGUAUAAUUUUUUAGAAGAAAUCACAGAAACACACAUUACCUGCCUACAGGAACAAGAGAGGAGGACACUGCAAAAUUGUUAGAAAAAAAAAUUAAGUUUGCCAGACAUUUCCUAUAAAUCAGAGGAAUUAUUUUGAGCUACAAAAUUUAUGAAAUGCAAGACACUUUAGUGGAACAAUGAAUGCAAAUGCAAUGGAUGAUGACACGUGUUACAUACAGGUAAUCCACUACUGCACAUAUAUUCCCUAGCAUCUCAUACAGUAACCUGUAUCUUGGCAACAACAGAUUUUUCCCCAGAGAAGAUUUAGGCCUUUAUAUGCUAACAUUGUUAUCAUUUUCUUAUUUUAAUUGUUUCUAUUUAUUGUAGUGGUAUUAAUUGCAGUUAAACUGGUUGCCAAUUAUUUGAGAUAACAGCUCUGGCUUCCGGUUUUCAUUUAAAAAAGCGGCAAAAAAGACACCUAAACCUAUCAUCAUCAAUUAUAUGAAAUGCCAAAACACAUUAAUUAAUAUUCCACUUGCUUGGAUUUGCAUAUGAUUAUGCACAGCUUCCAAUUAAGUAGAGAUUGUAACAUGUUAAAGCCAUGUGGUGUCUAAAUAUAAGCUUAUGUGUGUUUGCUUCCUCGUAACAUCCAUCAUCCGUGAGGAUGUUGUCAUUAAAGGUGUCUCUUAUUAACACAGGCACCUCUUAAAAUGGAAAAACCUGCACACGGUGCCAAAAGAUUAUAGUAGUCUUGAAAACUGUACACUUCCUCUGGUUGUUUGGAUAUUUAAUAAUGAACAUUUUAACACAAACUUUAUGUUAAAAAAUUUUUUACAAUUGGUGUAAAUUGCCCCUUUGUUCUAAUUCAGUCUUGCACAUACUGAGGGCCCUAUAGAAGUCAUUGAACAAGAAUCAACAUGAUUUCCUGUUUUUGAAUAUUGUGUUGUCUAUUUAUUUUUUUCCAGUUGGAAAGGAAGCUAUUCAUUUGUUGUAAUUAUGUGUAUUUCUUAUGAGCACUUUGAUUUGUGAACAGACAAGCAUGUUAGAGCUCAGUUCAACAAUACUGAUAGAAUAAAUAAAUAAUGCAUGAUUAAAACUUUGCAUUAUUAACAGAGUUUUUAUAGAAUAAAAAUAUGCAAUGCAAUACAAAAAUGCAAUAUAGAUUCUGGUUGGACCCCCAAGGUUGGUAUCCAUUGCUUAAACUGUAUUCUGAAGUUGGAAAGCUUUCAUGAACUUGUUACAAACAAGCAACUCUAUUGCCAGACAAGAACAUCAAUAUCGGACAAUUCAGCAACAGUGCCAAGGAUUUUUAAUUGUUGUUUUCUACAAUAUCUGCAUGUGGCAACUAUGGCAUGACUAAGGUAUGGUUAGGGUUAGGCUACUAAGACAUAAAAAAGCAAACUUGUGACAGGAUGCAAACACCAGUCUUUGGCGUGAAAAUCUGAUGUGCUAGGUUUGGACUCGUACUUUAAAUCUUCUGGUCGGUUGACAUUAAAAUGACUAUGUCCUUGUGCCAGUUAUGGAGUGCAAAGGAUGUGUUCAUUUUAAAGACUGUUGUUGCCUGUUUUAUUUUUCUUUGACAUGUACAUGUACACUAGAGGACUAAAAGAAUAGUGAUGUCAGACUGUAUGCACUGUCUUUGUAUCCUCCCUCUUUCUCUACUCCAUUCAUCUCCCUCAUCCCCUCUGUCUUUGAGGCAGAGGCUGAUGAGACAGGGCAUUUCAGCUCCUAUUGCCCUGUAUGUCAGACUCUAUUGUGGGAAAACCUGACCGCCAGUGAACUCAGACUGCUACAGAACUGCUGGCUCAACCCCAAUGGAGCCUCAGAACACCAACGACCUCCCACCUCCAGCAAUGACUAAGUGUCUUUCUUCAGAAUAAACUUCAGUCGAAUAGUCAAACAGAAAUAAGCUGCAGUAAGAGGGUGUGUAUGGAUGUGUGCACACGUGUGUGUGUGUUUUUUUUUUUUAUAUGAUUAAGCUUGUUUGCUUUUAUCAGUAACCCGAUUUAUCUGGCCUCUGGCCCCAGCCUCGCUGCUCAGCUCCAUCGCACCACCAUGAGAACCGCACUUGCAUGACCUCCGACCCUUUAUGUGCUUGUUAGGGUUGUUGAAUGUAGAAGGUUGUGAACUCCAUAGAAUAUAGAAUUCUAUUGCUAUGGUGACUGCGGCCAUGAACUGCCCUUUAGUCAAUUUUGUUUCAUUCCACAGACAUGGGCUUUAUUGAUUCUUUCAUUUAGCCAGCAUUAAUCUCUUUUUUGUAUUACUACACUGUCAUUUGCCAAAAAUUGUGGACACAAUUUAGAAGACAAUGAAUGCUCUACGUUGUUAUUUUAUGUGUAUAUUUUGUGAAUAUAAUUAAUUAUUUCUGUAGGUUGCUAUUUGUAGUCCAACUGUAUGACCCUGCUUGAUGAUCAGCUGCACUGCAUAAACCAUGUGUACUGGUUUGAAUGACAACUUUUGUAUUUUUAGCAGUUGGGUUCAUCCACAUUUGCUCCUUGUACACAUUGCUCUCCAGUAGUUUUUAUUGUCACGAGAAAGGCUUGUUUUUUAUUGCAACAGAAACAAUAUUUGCAUAUUCAGGUCUCUUGUCCGGUUAAUAAAUGAACUCCUACUCACUUUUCCCAGGGAAUUAUAUAUUACUAUGCUCAAUAAAGCCAGAUUAUGUAUCCA